rnacentral:rRNA from 1 species
AGAGUUUGAUCAUGGCUCAGAUUGAACGCUGGCGGCAUGCCUUACACAUGCAAGUCGAACGGCAGCACGGGAGCAAUCCUGGUGGCGAGUGGCGAACGGGUGAGUAAUAUAUCGGAACGUGCCCAGUCGUGGGGGAUAACGUAGCGAAAGCUACGCUAAUACCGCAUACGAUCUACGGAUGAAAGCGGGGGACCUGUAAGGGCCUCGCGCGAUUGGAGCGGCCGAUAUCAGAUUAGGUUGUUGGUGAGGUAAAAGCUCACCAAGCCUGCGAUCUGUAGCUGGUCUGAGAGGACGACCAGCCACACUGGAACUGAGACACGGUCCAGACUCCUACGGGAGGCAGCAGUGGGGAAUUUUGGACAAUGGACGCAAGUCUGAUCCAGCAAUGCCGCGUGCAGGACGAAGGCCUUCGGGUUGUAAACUGCUUUUGUACGGAACGAAACGGUCUUCUUUAAUACAGAGGGCUAAUGACGGUACCGUAAGAAUAG